CUCCUUUCUUCCUGUACUGUGUGAUGGUAGCCGGGGUUCCUUGUGUCUAUGGCAGGCCUGUGCUGUGGGGUAGAGGGCAGGUUGCCAGCAGCUUGGAGAGUCCUGGACUGUCCUGGUAAGGGAUGUUUCAACUCAGAGGAAAUCACAAGAGCAGAGCAUGGCAAGAUCAAAGAUUAUAUCAACCCACCUGUGAAAUAUCAGAAACUGCAUCUUGCUGAAAAGACAAAAAACUGCAUAAAAUAUACCUGAUUGGAUAUUGGCUAAAUAUUCUGAACAGAAUAGAAUAUGACUUUGUAAAAAUGAGAUGGAAUAAUUAAAUAAAUUGUCUUUUAUCUUUCAUUAUUA
rnacentral:lncRNA from 1 species